rnacentral:rRNA from 1 species
GACGAACGCUGGCGGCGUGCUUAACACAUGCAAGUCGAACGGAAAGGCCCUGCUUGCCGGGUACUCGAGUGGCGAACGGGUGAGUAACACGUGGGUGAUCUGCCCUGCACUUCGGGAUAAGCUUGGGAAACUGGGUCUAAUACCGGAUAGGACCGCACUUUAGUGUGUGUGGUGGAAAGUUUUUUCGGUGUAGGAUGAGCUCGCGGCCUAUCAGCUUGUUGGUGGGGUAAUGGCCUACCAAGGCGGCGACGGGUAGCCGGCCUGAGAGGGUGUACGGCCACAUUGGGACUGAGAUACGGCCCAGACUCCUACGGGAGGCUGCAGUGGGGAAUAUUGCACAAUGGGCGCAAGCCUGAUGCAGCGACGCCGCGUGGGGGAUGAAGGCCUUCGGGUUGUAAACUCCUUUCGCUAGGGACGAAGCUUUUUGUGACGGUACCUAGAUAAGAAGCACCGGCUAACUACGUG